AUGAACCAUAACGGAGACUGUAGGUUAUAACUGCCUAAGUCUGAGUUUAGCUAAUGCAAAUGAUUAAGUUGUCAUCUGCCAUCUGCUCAUUGUAUAUCACAAAAAAAAUUAUAAACUAUUAGCAUUUGAAAUCAGUUAACUCAUACAAAUGGCAUGUGGUUUACCUCACUUAAUGCAUUUGGACAGUAAAAGCUACAGGAAAGAACAUUUUUGGCAGGUAGUUCAGUAAAAAUGGCGCUUUUGUGAGCUGACAAAAAUAAUAAAAAGAUUUUAGCAAUUAGUUUUCUGUAGGCUCAACUAAAAACGUGGUGCUUAUACACUCCAGAAUGUAUGGCUUGAGGCAAAUGCGUGGAGUUUCAGCCUUAAGUGACCAGCUACUGUUUGGAAACAAGAACAUAGGUGACCAAGACUGCUAGAAAAGAACUACUGAUUUAUGCUCAGGUAGUUCAGAAGGGGAAAAAAAGCACUCACAAAGGUUGUUGGUUUCUUUUCUAAAACUCCUUCCCAGUGUAUCACAGACUUUAAGAGCAAUAAGCACUUCAUUUUUGAAAGUGAACUUAAGUCACUGAAUCUGAAAUCUCUAGAGGAAAAGGCUUGGCAGAAUAAAUUGACUAUACAAGCAACCUACAAUACAGAAAUCACAGUGUAACAGCAGGAGGACCCUGGAGUGCAAAAGAGAAACAGAUAACCCUAACCCAGUAAAGCCACAUCUAAGACAUACUUCAGUGAGCUCAAUGACAACACCCAUGCUGUAACAGACAUUACUGUAUGAGUCUGUAACAAUUUACGGCCUUUUUAUUUUAAGGAGACACAAUCUGUUCUUCUGUCUUUACUGAUUUCUUUCAAGAAGUAUGAAGUGAGAUGCGGGAACACAAUUUAAAAUCAACCAUAAGUUAGACUGGAAAGGACAAAAAAAACUGUUUUUGGAGUGGUUUAAAAAGGGAAAACUGAGAUAAGAAGUCAUCUCUACUUUUUCAAUUUUGUUAUUUAAAUGAAAACAAAGCAGUAAUUUUGUGGCACUUCUCAAUUUGUCAAAGACUUUGUUAUGUAGAUACAACUGUAAAAGCAAAACCAUUAUCAAAUACUUAUCCAAGUUCCUUAUCAAAACACAGAAAUUAAGAGUAAUUUCAGCAUGGAAGAAAAGCCUCAAAUUAACCUGGUUAAUAAAGCCAGCCACAACGUUUCAACAGAGAUGGGAGUGGCAGCGUUGUUUGACAAUGUAAGAUAGAUAGUCCGGUUUUCCUAAUUGAAGUCUUUCAGUCUGGCUCCUCCGGAAACCUGUUCUGUCUCACACUCAAGAAAGAAGAAAAACCCACAACUCAAACCGACAUGAAGGAUCCGCUUCCUUCAGACUUUCCAUGUAAUCAAAGUCAUAAGCUGAAAGCCACAGAGCAGAAGACUGACUGCUAUGAAGUAAUUACUCACUGGCUCAAGUCACAAGACGGUAAAGAUAAGACAGCAGAAAGCACUACUAGAACCACACGAACUGAAGUUCUGCAGUGAGAGAAACAGCAACUGUGACGCCAGCGUAGAAGCAUUCCCCUCCCAGCUUGGCCUUUUGCCUGACCACCAGCCAAACCCAAUGUACUCAGCAGCUGUCACAGUGACCCUCUGGGACACAGAACACAAUCUAGGGGUUAAUCCCAACUUGCUCUUAUAACCGUCUCUAUGGUGUUUGUAAUUUAAC